rnacentral:rRNA from 1 species
GAUUGAACGCUGGCGGCAGGCCUAACACAUGCAAGUCGAGCGGUAGAGAGAAGCUUGCUUCUCUUGAGAGCGGCGGACGGGUGAGUAAUGCCUAGGAAUCUGCCUGGUAGUGGGGGAUAACGUUCGGAAACGGACGCUAAUACCGCAUACGUCCUACGGGAGAAAGCAGGGGACCUUCGGGCCUUGCGCUAUCAGAUGAGCCUAGGUCGGAUUAGCUAGUUGGUGAGGUAAUGGCUCACCAAGGCGACGAUCCGUAACUGGUCUGAGAGGAUGAUCAGUCACACUGGAACUGAGACACGGUCCAGACUCCUACGGGAGGCAGCAGUGGGGAAUAUUGGACAAUGGGCGAAAGCCUGAUCCAGCCAUGCCGCGUGUGUGAAGAAGGUCUUCGGAUUGUAAAGCACUUUAAGUUGGGAGGAAGGGUUGUAGAU